rnacentral:rRNA from 1 species
GUAGGGAAUAUUGGGCAAUGGUCGGAAGACUGACCCAGCCAUGCCGCGUGCAGGAAGACGGCCCUCUGGGUUGUAAACUGCUUUUAUCUGGGAAGAAAAAGGCCAUGCGUGGCAAAUUGCCGGUACCAGAUGAAUAAGCACCGGCUAACUCCGUGCCAGCAGCCGCGGUAAUACGGAGGGUGCGAGCGUUGUCCGGAUUUAUUGGGUUUAAAGGGUGCGUAGGCGGCUGAUUAAGUCAGCGGUGAAAGACUUCGGCUUAACCGGAGCAGUGCCGUUGAUACUGGUUGGCUUGAGUGUCGGAGGGGUACAUGGAAUUGAUGGUGUAGCGGUGAAAUGCAUAGAUGCCAUCAGGAACACCGAUAGCGAAGGCAUUGUACUGGCCGACAACUGACGCUGAUGCACGAAAGUGUGGGGAUCGAACAGGAUUAGAUACCCUUGUAGUCC